rnacentral:tRNA from 1 species
GAGGGUAGAGCUCAGUGGUAGAGCGCAUGCCUAGCAUGCACGAGGUCCUGGAUUCAACCCCCAGUACUGCCA